rnacentral:rRNA from 1 species
AUUGAACGCUGGCGGCAGGCCUAACACAUGCAAGUCGAACGGUAACAGGAAGAAGCUUGCUUCUUUGCUGACGAGUGGCGGACGGGUGAGUAAUGUCUGGGAAACUGCCUGAUGGAGGGGGAUAACUACUGGAAACGGUAGCUAAUACCGCAUAACGUCGCAAGACCAAAGAGGGGGACCUUCGGGCCUCUUGCCAUCGGAUGUGCCCAGAUGGGAUUAGCUAGUAGGUGGGGUAACGGCUCACCUAGGCGACGAUCCCUAGCGGGUCUGAGAGGAUGACCAGCCACACUGGAACUGAGACACGGUCCAGACUCCUACGGGAGGCAGCAGUGGGGAAUAUUGCACAAUGGGCGCAAGCCUGAUGCAGCCAUGCCGCGUGUAUGAAGAAGGCCUUCGGGUUGUAAAGUACUUUCAGCGGGGAGGAAGGGAGUAAAGUUAAUACCUUUGCUCAUUGACGUUACCCGCAGAAGAAGCACCGGCUAACUCCGUG